rnacentral:rRNA from 1 species
AUUGAACGCUGGCGGCAGGCCUAACACAUGCACGUCGAACGAGUGGCGGACGGGUGAGUAAUGUCUGGGAAACUGCCUGAUGGUGGGGCUAACUACUGGAAACGGUAGCUAAUACCGCAUACCAUCCGAUGUCCCCCGAUGGGAUGUGCUUGUUGGUGGGGUAACGGCGCACCAAGUCGACGAUCCCGAGCUGGUCUGAGAGGAUGAACGGCCACACUGGAACUUAGACACGGUCCAGACGCCUGCGGGAGGCAGCAGGGGGUAAUAUUGCACAAUGGGCGCAAGCCUGAUGCAGCCAUGCCGCGUGUAUGAAGAAGGCCUUCGGGUUGUAAAGUACUUGCAGCGGGGAGGCGUUACCAGCAGAAGAAGCACCGGCUAACUCCGUGCCAGCAGCCGCGGUAAUUG